rnacentral:rRNA from 1 species
AGUGAACGCUGGCGGCAGGCCUAACACAUGCAAGUCGAACGGCAGCACAGUAAGAGCUCGCCCUUACCGGUGGCGACUGGCGGGCGGGUGACGCGUACAUCGGCAUCUACUUAUUCGGGGAGGACAACGUAGAGCCACUUACGCUAAUACCUCAUACAACGUACCGGUGGACGCAGCGGUUCUUGGCGCCUUGCCCGAUUGAUUUAGCCGAUGCCGGAUUAGCUAGUUGGCGGGGUAACGGCCCACCAAGGCAACGCUCCGUAGCCGGCCUGAGAGGAUGAUCGGCCACACUGGAACUGAGACACGGUCCAGACUCCUACGGGAGGCAGCAGUGGGGAAUAUUGCACAAUGGGCGAAAGCCUGACGGAGCAACACCGCGUGAGUGAUGAAGGCCUUCGGAUCGUAAAGCUCUGUUAUUAGGAAAGAACAGAUGUGGAUUAAACCGCGCACGUCUUGACGGUACCUAAUCAGAAAGCCACGGCUAACUACGUG